rnacentral:lncRNA from 1 species
AUGGGCCCCAGGGGCACCAGGGCAGGGAGGCGAGGGCCUGUUUACCCCGACCCAGCGUCGCGCUCUCAGCUGCCCCAACGUGGACUCUUGUCGGCUCCCGGGGGCACACGCAGGGAUCAGCUUUUGAAAGCGCAAGAGAAAGGGCAUCCACCGCUGAUUAAAAGGCGCCUGAGUAACAAGCCUGGAAGCGAUGGACAGACCGGGACGACAGGGCCCUCGCGCGGCUCGGCCCAGCCGCUUGCUGCCGGCCCGGAAGCCCGGAAGCUGCCCCAGCGUUUCACUCGGGUUUGCACCAGGGAGACACCAGCACAGCGUGGACACCUGGGCCACGUGGAGCCUCAGCAAACACCCAGCCCCCGGCAGGCCCGGCACCAACCUCGCAGCAGGCCCUGUCUUUUCCUUCACAUGGAGCUCCCCGAGCUUCCAGGUGUCACUCAAGAGCGAGGUUGCGGGGCACACCUGACGGACCUCAGGGAGAAGCUGGCGCCAAAGAGAUGGGGUGAGCUGUCCGAGGCCAGCGGGAAGCCCGCCCCUGCCUCCCUGAACCACACGGAACGCCUGCGGUGCCCUCCUCCCGAGGCGGCCUGAUGGGCAGUGAGGCAGG